UGCACAUCCUUAGACAGGUGCAAAAAAUAAAGCCUCUUUUGUAACCCAGAGCUCAUUGUUCAGUAUGAGUUUUGAUACAUCUAAGAAGGAAUAUU
rnacentral:snoRNA from 1 species